rnacentral:rRNA from 1 species
GAUGAACGCUAGCGGCAGGCCUAAUACAUGCAAGUCGAACGGGGUAGCAAUACCCAGUGGCGCCCGGGUGCGUAACGCGUAGGCACGCUGCAUAUCUCUGGGGGAUAGCCCGCCGAGAGGAGGAUUAAUACCGCAUAACACCACAACACGGCAUCGAGUCACGGCUAAAGAAUUUCGGAGACAGAUGCGCCGGAGUGGCAUUAGCAAGUUGGUGCGGUAACGGCGAACCAAGGCGACGAUGGCUAGGGGGGCUGAGAGGCCGAUCCCCCGCACUGGCACUGAGAUACGGGCCAGACUCGUACGGGAGGCAGCAGUAGGGAAUGUUGGGCAAUGGGCGCGAGCCUGACCCAGCCAUGCCGCGUGACGGAUGAAGGCCUUCUGGGUUGUAAACGUCUUUUGCCCGGGAAGAAAAAACGCUUGCGAGAGAAAUCGACGGUACCGUGUGAAUAAGCACCGGCUAACUCCGUGCCAGCAGCCGCGGUAA